rnacentral:rRNA from 1 species
AUUGAACGCUGGCGGAAUGCUUUACACAUGCAAGUCGAACGGCAGCACGGGGCAACCUGGUGGCGAGUGGCGAACGGGUGAGUAAUACAUCGGAACGUGCCCAAUCGUGGGGGAUAACGUAGCGAAAGUUACGCUAAUACCGCAUACGAUCUACGGAUGAAAGCGGGGGAUCGCAAGACCUCGCGCGAAUGGAGCGGCCGAUGUCAGAUUAGGUAGUUGGUGGGGUAAAGGCUCACCAAGCCAACGAUCUGUAGCUGGUCUGAGAGGACGACCAGCCACACUGGAACUGAGACACGGUCCAGACUCCUACGGGAGGCAGCAGUGGGGAAUUUUGGACAAUGGGCGCAAGCCUGAUCCAGCAAUGCCGCGUGCAGGAUGAAGGCCUUCGGGUUGUAAACUGCUUUUGUACGGAACGAAAAGCUUCGGGCUAAUACCCUGAAGUCAUGACGGUACCGUAAGAAUAAGCACCGGCUAACUACGUGCCAGCAGCCGAC